rnacentral:rRNA from 1 species
GAUGAACGCUGGCGGCGUGCUUAACACAUGCAAGUCGAACGAGGUCCAUGGAGCUUGCUCCGGACGACCUAGUGGCGAACGGGUGCGUAACACGUGAGAAACCUGCCCCGAUCUCUGGAAUAACAGUUGGAAACGACUGCUAAUACCGGAUACCACCGGUGCACCUCCUGGUGCGCCGAUGAAAGAUUUAUCGGAUUGGGAGGGUCUCGCGGCCUAUCAGCUAGUUGGAGAGGUAACGGCUCACCAAGGCAUCGACGGGUAGCUGGUCUGAGAGGAUGAUCAGCCACACUGGGACUGAGACACGGCCCAGACUCCUACGGGAGGCAGCAGUGGGGAAUCUUGCACAAUGGGCGCAAGCCUGAUGCAGCAACGCCGCGUGCGGGAAGAAGGCCCUAGGGUUGUAAACCGCUUUCAGUAGGGAAGAAAAUGACGGUACCUACAGAAGAAGGUGCGGCCAACUACG